GACGAACGCUGGCAGCGUGCUUAACACAUGCAAGUCGAACGGUAAGGCCCUUCGGGGUACACGAGUGGCGAACGGGUGAGUAACACGUGGGUGAUCUGCCCUGCACUUCGGGAUAAGCCUGGGAAACUGGGUCUAAUACCGGAUAGGACCCUGGGAUGCAUGUCCUGGGGUGGAAAGCUUUUGCGGUGUGGGAUGGGCCCGCGGCCUAUCAGCUUGUUGGUGGGGUGAUGGCCUACCAAGGCGACGACGGGUAGCCGGCCUGAGAGGGUGACCGGCCACACUGGGACUGAGAUAGGGCCCAGACUCCUACGGGAGGCAGCAGUGGGGAAUAUUGCACAAUGGGCGCAAGCCUGAUGCAGCGACGCCGCGUGAGGGAUGACGGCCUUCGGGUUGUAAACCUCUUUCAGCACCGACGGAGCGCAAGUGACGGUAGGUGCAGAAGAAGGACCGGCCAACUACGUGCCAGCCGCCGCCGUAA
rnacentral:rRNA from 1 species